rnacentral:rRNA from 1 species
AGUGAACGCUGGCGGCAGGCCUAAUACAUGCAAGUCGAACGGCAGCACAGCAGAGCUUGCUCUGUGGGUGGCGAGUGGCGGACGGGUGAGGAAUACAUGGGAAUCUGCCCAGUCGUGGGGGAUAACGUAUGGAAACGUACGCUAAUACCGCAUGCGCCCUACGGGGGAAAGCCGGGGACCGCAAGGCCUGGCGCGAUUGGAUGAGCCCAUGUUCGAUUAGCUAGUUGGCGGGGUAAAGGCCCACCAAGGCGACGAUCGAUAGCUGGUCUGAGAGGAUGAUCAGCCACACUGGAACUGAGACACGGUCCAGACUCCUACGGGAGGCAGCAGUAGGGAAUAUUGGACAAUGGGGCAACCCUGAUCCAGCCAUGCCGCGUGAGUGAAGAAGGCCCUCGGGUUGUAAAGCUCUUUUGUCCGGAAGAAAGCAAUCGGUUAAUACCCGGUUGUUCUGACGGUACCGGAGAAUAAGCACGGCUAACUUCGUGCCAGCA